rnacentral:lncRNA from 1 species
CUGAACGUUAAUACAGAACCAGUGCCGUCAGAGCAUCUGACCUGUAGGCAGGACUUGGCCCUCUUGAGCACAGAGAAAGCCAUACAGUUGCCAGAGAUUCCGGGAAGGGAAUGUUUGUGCCUGCCCUCGGUAAAAUAGUUGAAGUGGGAUGACCUUCAGUGACAAGGCUACGAUAUGCUUUCUUCAUCUCUACGGCCUGUGGCUACCUGCCUUGGAAGUCCAGAGAGAGGCCAGGCAUGACCCAGAACUUGAAGCUGAGUGAGCAGCAGCCUCCUGGGCUUCGGUAAGUAGUCAGCUUCACCUUCUGUUGUCAGUAUCUCAUGGGAGCUGGACCAGAGAGGCAUCCAGAACUGUGCAGCCUCCUUCCAUAAAUGGACUUCUCUUACUCCUCACUUCUCGGCAUCUAAGGGAAAACUGCACUGAUUUAUGUACUUGCUCAUAAACAUCUGGUGACUUUUAGCUGCCAGAGAAAAGCUGCUCAGAACCCUGAGACCGGCCUUCAGGGUUUUCCCCAACUGAACAUGACUUUCCUUUGUCCUUAUCUCCCUCUGCUGCUCCUGAAG